rnacentral:rRNA from 1 species
ACGGACCCGCAAGGGUCAGUGGCGGACGGGUGAGUAAUGAAUCGCUAAUGUACCUCGAAGUCUGGGAUAGCCAGUCGAAAGAUUGGGUAAUACCAGAUGAGACCACGGUAGGGCAUCCUACAGUGCUCAAAGGGCAACCGCUUUGGGAGCAGGCGAUUUUGUAUCAGCUAGUUGGUGAGGUAACGGCUCACCAAGGCGACGACGCAUAGCCGGGCUGAGAGGUCGGCCGGCCACAUUGGGACUGAGACACUGCCCAGACUCCUACGGGGGGCUGCAGUAACGAAUCUUCCACAAUGCACGCAAGUGUGAUGGAGCGACGCCGCGUGUGGGACGAAGUCCUUCGGGAUGUAAACCACUGUCAGGGGAAAGAAAGUUCUGAUCUACCCCAGAGGAAGAGACGGCUAACUCUGUGCCAGCAGCCGCGGUAAGACAGAGGUCUCGAGCGCUAGGCGGAAUCACUGGGCUUAAAGCGUGUGUAGGGUGGAUGUCUAAGUACCUUGUGAAAUCCCACGGCUUAACCGUGGAAUUGCUUGGUAUACUGGAUGUCUUGAGCCACUUAGGGGCAACCGGAACAAAUGGUGGAGCGGUGAAAUGCGUAGAUAUCAUUUGGAACGCCAAUGGUGAAAACAGGUUGCUGGGAGUGUGCUGACACUGAGACACGAAAGCCAGGGGAGCAAACGGGAUUAGAUACCCCGGUAGUCCUGGCCAUAAACGAUGUCCACUAGAUCGUGGCGCCUCUGACGGCGUCAUGGUCGAAGCAAAAGUGCUAAGUGGACCGCCUGGGAAGUACGGUCGCAAGGCUAAAACUCAAAGAAAUUGACGGGGGCUCACACAAGCGGUGGAGCAUGUGGUUCAAUUCGAAGCACGCGCAGAACCUUACCUGGGCUUGACAUGCUAG